ACACAUAAAAAUGUUCAAAAGUUUAUAUGUAAUUGAAAAUUAAAACACAUAAAAAGUUCAUACAUCCUUAAUCAAGUUUAAAAUUACAACACAUAAUUGUUCAAAAGUUCAUACAUCCCUAAUCAAGUUUAAAAUUAAAAAACACAUCCCUUUUCAGUUUUGCUUUAAGCACUUGAUCCUAUUACUUGAUUAGGUGAUGGAGCACCACUUCCAUAAUCUGAUGCCUGAAAUAAAUAAUUUUAAUUUAAUGAAUUUGUAUGUUUAUAAUUAUAAAAUAAAAAACACCAAUAAAUAUUUAAAUAUAUUAAUACCUCAUUGAUGUAUGCAACCAAUCCAAUAUAUCAACAUCUUGAAAUCUGCACCAAGAUGCUCUGUCCUCCAAAAUCAAAAGACAUUAUUAGUACAUUCUGUUUGUUUAACAUUAGUUGAGAGCAGUGCAGUUAAAUUUAAUUGAAGAAAGGAGAUUUAUUCAACAACUUUGAAUGACAAUACAAGAAACUGAGAUUCAACCUAUGAAAUACUACCAAUAAAAACUAGUUUUGUGUAGCCACAAAGCAUUAACCAAUCACAUGGAAUCUUUGUGCACCUACUUCUUCAAUAAAAUUUUACGCCGCUACUGUCAAUGACCAACUCACCAAAAAGUUUAAGAUGUUGGGUGAAUGCUUAAGAAUGGUUUAUUACAUGAUUCAUCCCUAACCCACCCCCAUAAAACAAGAUCCCACAGGACUUCAAGAACGUCUAAUACAUGGGGGCCUACCAUGUGUUGAAGCUUAAAUACCAUCCAACUGUGCAAGGAAAAGUAAAACUGACAUUGGCAAAAUUUUGUAACAGAAAUGUCUAACUAAGUAGGCAUGCACAAGAAAAUAGUAAACCAGAGAGUUUUCAACAUUACAAUGAAUGGAUUUCUGAAACAGUAUAAUUUAAACAUUAGUGUCAAACCUAGAAGAACUUAAGCCCAAUUUUAACUGGCUCUAUAUGCAUUGUGCAACUUAAGAAAGAUAUAAUAUAUAAAAGUGAACAAUAAAGGUGAAAGCAAACUAAAAAUAUAACAUUUCCAAGAAAAACCAAUAACCAAAUACUAGAUUCUCCCCCCAAUCUUUUCAAUAAGUAAUAGAAUAAAAGAGUGUUGAAGAAAGUUAAUAAUAAAAUAGAGUCUACAGGUAAGAUUCUUACAAGCCUGCACAUCAAACGCUCAAAGCACCAAAAUGCGUCUGCUUCAUCGUCAAGAAGAAUUAUCAUAGGGGAGCACAGGUCACACAUUCCUGCCCAGAAUUGUAAAAUGUUAAAACUGGAAACUUAGGAUAGUUGUAAAUGGUGGUAGCAAAUAUUUCUUGCUAGAUCGCCAGAAAAAUAGAAAAUAAACUAAUAUAUAAAGCAGUAGGUCUCAUUUAUUCAUUAAAUUCUUUCCAUAAACCAAGUUGGUCUGUUUUACAGAUUUCUCUGCUUUUUUUUCAACAGUGAAAAUUAAGAGGUUUUAAUUUGCCCGACCAAAACAGUUGGCUAAAUACUCAGAGGAAGUCCUAAGCUAUUUAAAAAACGUAAAAUACACGAACACAGAAAUUACCAUGCAUUAAAUACUAAUUAAAUAUUCUAUGAAUGUUGGCCUCCCAUUCAUGACCAGCUUUGUUGAGGCUAAAAUAAUUGUCAACAACUAGUGAAUAUAUCAUAGAACAAUGCAAGAUUGUUACAUAUUAUUAUAUGAGCAUUAAGAUAAGAACUCAGAUAGGAAUAUCUAAAUAUUAGAAGAGAAAUAUACGAAGAAAAAAAUGAAAUUCUCUUCUCCAUAAUUUAAAUUUAGUUCACCACAAAUUAAAAAUAAAGAGUUUAAUUUCUGUAAUAAAAGAUGAAGCACAGUAAGUUGAUUUUAGCUUACAAGACAAAUUUAAUUCGAUUUAUCUUUUCACUUUUCAGAUAUAUGAUAAGUUUGCCAAACAAAACCUAAAUAGCAAAUUCUCAUAAGAAAAGCACACUACUCGUAUUUUCUCUUCCCCUACAGCAAGCUAAACUCAAACACAAGACGUUGUAUUCAACUCAAAAUCAAUGAAAAAGAGCAACAAAACAAGCUAAGCUGUGAGAAAUAAAUAAAUUUAAAUGCAGUUUAUGAAAAUCACUACUCUCAUAAGCCACAACAUACAUUUCUAGCUGACACAAAUCAUAAUCCAAAAAUUUAACUAAAAAGUAAAUAAUUGAUUGAAUACCUUAGUGGAGAAGGAAAAAUUGGAAGGGAAGGCGAAUGCAGAAGGUCUUCCGAGGAAAACCGCCGGCCGAGACAGAGCAGACGGUGGUGUGAGGACAGUUGCCGUCGCAGCCGCUUCCAUUGGCAACUCUGCGAAAGCGAUGAACGGCGUUGGAUGAAGGAAGAAAAAUGGAUGAAUAAAAGUGAAUAUAAUAUGACAAAUAAAAU
rnacentral:lncRNA from 1 species